GAACCGCCCCGGUGGAUACAGUUGAUUUGGAGAAAUAUCUAUUUGUAUCCAGCCCUUUCAGCCAGAUGAUUUUGAAAUGGAGCUGAAGUCUCAACUUAUGGGGAGCCCAAGUUGUUGAACAUUGAAAAGUGAUGCUAUUCCAUCGAUUUUCCUCUUCACCUUCAAAGAGGAAGAUAUUCGAUCAGCCAACAUCAGCAUAGCAGGAAGAAGUUGAGCUGAGAGUCCAAUCCCAUCAACAUCAAGCUCAGCACCAGGAACAAGUACUAAUCCUGCUGCUGCUGAUGACGGCCUUGACACCAGCUUUAGUAGUACAGAGCCUGUAGACCCAUUGGAUGAAAGCUUUCAGAUGGUGUUAAAGCACUCCGAACCAGUGAUAGUGGUCCAAAGCCACUGCUCCUGUGUUGCAGGAAGUGCUCUGUUCAAUCAUCUGGUGGCCCUUCUUUACCAGACAGCGCACUACUCUCAGCUAAACAUUCCUGCUGCACCACCAGUUCACAGCUGCACAGACACAGAACAGCGUUGGCACAAGCCAAGAACACUUGGUGUGAAACCAGGUCCGGUUGAUGGGAUAGAGUUCCGUAAACCUACUAACUCGUGUGCUGAUGGAAUAAGAAGUUCUCUCUACAAAACACUCAAUGGAUACAUGCCUGACAUGGACCUUCUCCGCCUCCCAGAAACGUAUGCCAACUUUUCUCCACUUACUGCCCCGCUUGUGACAACAAUGGAAAUGUCAGCUGACGUGCCCCUGGUUGAGUCUGCCUUUGGGCCAGUGCAAGCCGGCAGUGUUCUGUCCUAUCAGCUUCCACAGCCAAAGACCCGUGAAAUUGUGAAGAUUGCCGAUGCCACUUCUCCACCAAUACUUCCAUUAGAUGGCUACAGGCUUCAGGCUUCCCAGUGUGCUUACGUCCUUAGCCAUCAGGAGCAGUUCCACCUCAAGGCAUUAGAGACAACCUACGAGAUGUCACACAAAGUCGAGGUUGCUACAAGGGAGCAGAGCAGCAUCCCGGAAUGGCAUCAGCUCAGGAAAAUGAGAAUUACAUCCUCUCGUUUCCGAGAGGUUUGCCAUGUCCGGGGAUAGACCUCAGCUGACCACCUAGCUGAGCGGAUGUUCAAGGGAUCUGGUAUGCAGACCAUGGAGAUGAAGAGGGGGCUGGUCAUGGAGCCAGAGGCUGUACAGGAGUACUGCACACUGAAGAAUGUUAACUUCUUUCCGUGUGGCUUCGUAGUGCACCCAGAUGCUCCGUGGUUAGGAUCCUCUCCAGAUGGAAUGAUAUUUGAUCACAGUGUGAGACCACACUUUGGACUCUUAGAGGUCAAGUGCCCAAAUGUACCAAGUUAUGUUGACUGCUCUUAUCUGAAGAUACAGAAUGGAGAGCUGAAGUUGAAGAGAUCUCAUGCGUACUACUGGCAGGUGCAAGGUCAAAUCCUUCUCACAGGUUGUAGCUGGUGUGACUUUGUCAUCUGUGCACAGGAGGACAUCCUAGUUGAAAGGAUAUAUACAGAUCUACAGUUUUCAAAAACUAUAAGAGAGAAGGUUGACCACUUUUAUUUUUACCACUACUUGCAGAAGUGUCUAUCUCGCACCUGAAUGGAUGCCCUGCAUGGGUGCUAAGUUUAGUGGUUUUAUGAAAAAUAACUAUUGAUGUUCUUGUGAAGAAAUCUACAGUAGAAUAGAUUUGUUUAAAAAAAAUGUAUUUCAGCAAAUGUUCAACAGUUCAAUUAAUCAAUUACACAUCUCUAACAUUGUAUUCAAUCUUGCAUUCUGGCUAUUCUGUGUUUACUUGAUUUCUUUCUCCCACCCCUGUUACUCAUUGCCUAAUUAAAGCCAAUACAAGCU
rnacentral:lncRNA from 1 species